GACGAACGCUGGCGGCGUGCUUAACACAUGCAAGUCGAGCGGUAAGGCCCUUCGGGUACGACGAGCGGCGAACGGGUGAGUAACACGUGGGUGACCUGCCUCUAGCUCUGGGAUAAGCCUGGGAAACUAGGGUCUAAUACCGGAUAUGACUCCACGGCGCAUGUUGUGGGGUGGAAAGCCUUGUGUGGCUAGAGAUGGGCCCGCGGCCUAUCAGCUUGUUGGUGGGGUGAUGGCCACCAAGGCGACGACGGGUAGCCGGCCUGAGAGGGCGACCGGCCACACUGGGACUGAGACACGGCCCAGACUCCUACGGGAGGGCAGCAGUGGGGAAUCUUGCGCAAUGGGCGAAAGCCUGACGCAGCGACGCCGCGUGAGGGAUGACGGCCU
rnacentral:rRNA from 1 species